rnacentral:rRNA from 1 species
GACGAACGCUGGCGGCGUGCUUAACACAUGCAAGUCGAACGGAAAGGCCCUGCUUUUGUGGGGUGCUCGAGUGGCGAACGGGUGAGUAACACGUGAGUAACCUGCCCUUGACUUUGGGAUAACUUCAGGAAACUGGGGCUAAUACCGGAUAGGAGCUCCUGCUGCAUGGUGGGGGUUGGAAAGUUUCGGCGGUUGGGGAUGGACUCGCGGCUUAUCAGCUUGUUGGUGGGGUAGUGGCUUACCAAGGCUUUGACGGGUAGCCGGCCUGAGAGGGUGACCGGCCACAUUGGGACUGAGAUACGGCCCGGACUCCUACAGGAGGCAGCAGUGGGGAAUAUUGCACAAUGGGCGGAAGCCUGAUGCAGCAACGCCGCGUGCGGGAUGACGGCCUUCGGGUUGUAAACCGCUUUCGCCUGUGACGAAGCGUGAGUGACGGUAAUGGGUAAAGAAGCACCGGCUAACUACGUG